rnacentral:rRNA from 1 species
GACGUAGGGUCCAAGCGUUGUCCGGAAUUACUGGGCGUAAAGGGCGUGUAGGCGGUACCAUAAGUCAGAUGUGAAAGCCCUAGGCUUAACCUAGGAGGUGCAUUUGAUACUGUGGAACUAGAGAUCGAGAGAGGUAAGUGGAAUUACGAGUGUAGAGGUGAAAUUCGUAGAUAUUCGUAAGAACACCAGUGGCGAAGGCGACUUACUGGCUCGAUACUGACGCUAAGGCGCGAAAGCGUGGGGAGCAAACAGG